rnacentral:rRNA from 1 species
GCAGCCGCGGUAAUACGUAGGGGGCAAGCGUUAUCCGGAAUUACUGGGUGUAAAGGGAGCGUAGGCGGCAUGUCAAGCCAGAUGUGAAAGCCCGGGGCUUAACCCCGAGGAUUGCAUUUGGAACUGGCAAGCUAGAGUACAGGAGAGGAAAGCGGAAUUCCUAGUGUAGCGGUGAAAUGCGUAGAUAUUAGGAAGAACACCAGUGGCGAAGGCGGCUUUCUGGACUGAAACUGACGCUGAGGCUCGAAAGCGUGGGGAGCAAACAGGAUUAGAUACCCC